GGCGCUGCCCUCGUCCCGCCGCUGCCCGGUGCGGCUUGGCCCGGCCCGGGGGAGGGCACGGCGCUGCCCGGGGGUUGACCCGCCCGUCCCUCUGCCCGGGACACCGACACCGCUGGCAGGGCCGAAGAGGCACUCCUCGCGCCGCCCGCUUCGCCGCCGGCCCCGGCAGAGCGGAACUGAUCGCGGAGAGCCGCCCGCACGUCCUCGGCGGCGGCUUGCAGCGGGGCCGGCCCCGGCGACCGCCCGUACUCCCACCGGGACGUCUGCGCCCGCCGUCGGGGCCGACGAGUAGAAAAUGAACCCCGCUCCGGUGCCGCCGCCGCCGGGACAGCAGGUGAUCCAUGUCACGCAGGACCUGGACACAGAGCUGGAAGCUCUCUUCAACGCGGUGAUGAACCCCAAGCCCAGCUCCUGGAGGAAGAAGAUCCUGCCUGAGUCCUUCUUCAAGGAGCCCGACUCAGGCUCGCACUCGCGGCAGUCGAGCACGGACUCGGGCGGGCCCCCGCCACGGCCCGCCGCCGCGCAGCACGUCCGCUCCCACUCCUCUCCCGCCUCGCUGCUGGGGUCGGCGACCGCUCCUCAGCACGCUCACCUCCGCCAGCGCUCCUACGACGUGACGGACGAGCUGCCGCUGCCUCCCGGCUGGGAGAUGGCGCUCACGCACACGGGACAGCGAUACUUCCUCAAUCACAUAGAAAAAAUUACAACAUGGCAAGAUCCUCGAAAAACCAUGAACCAGCCACUGAAUCACAUGAGCCACCAUCCUGCAGCUGCUUCCACACAAGUACCCCAGAGGUCUAUGGCAAUGUCUCAGCCCAAUCUCGUCAUGAACCACCAGCACCAAAUCAGCCCCAGCACAGCCAUGUCACAGCAGAGCCAUCCUCCCCAGACACCUCAGCCAGGGCUGAUGAACCUGCCCAGGGCUCUGACCACGCAGCAGCAGCAGCAGCAGAAGCUGAGGCUCCAGAGAAUCCAGAUGGAGAGGGAGCGAAUUCGGAUGCGUCAGGAGGAGUUACUGCGACAGGAAGCUGCUCUGUGCAGACAACUUCCCAUGGACUCAGAAAACUUGGUGCCAGUUCAGACAGCUGUGAAUACCCCUGCCAUGACACAAGACAUGAGGCCUAUUACAAACAAUGGAUCUGAUCCUUUCUUGAACAGUGGGCCAUACCAUUCCCGGGAACAGAGUACAGACAGUGGCUUGGGAUUAGGAUGCUACAGCAUACCAACAACACCUGAAGAUUUCCUCAGCAAUGUAGAUGAGAUGGAUACAGGAGAAACUAUAGCACAGACAACGAUGAACAUAAACCCACAACAAACACGCUUCCCUGAUUUCCUCGACUGCCUUCCAGGAACAAAUGUUGACCUUGGGACUCUAGAGUCAGAAGACUUGAUCCCUAUCCUCAACGAUGUGGAGUCAGUACUCAACAAAAAUGAGCCCUUCCUCACCUGGCUGUAACCAUUUGAUGCUGGUGUGGCCUGCAACGCAGCUCGACAUUUUUUUUUCCUCUUGAGAUAGAGGUCUAGCAACGCUUAACAAGAUCUUCCUGAUGCACCAGAAUAUUGAUCACUAAAAGACUUUUUUUCCAUCUGGUUUGGUGAAGGUAGGUGAAAAGGUCAGAGAUGAAGUGAUGGGAAUAUGGAGUAGGUUUGGAAGACAAAUGGUAAAACAAAUGUAGAUCCUUGCUGGGAAGGGUGGCUGCAGAGAGGGGUGAGUAGAAAACCAAUCACCAGCGUUCAGUACAAACAAGAACUUGACCCAGUUAACUUACCUUGUCAGGGGGGAACUGCUGGGUGUGCAUAGUGUCAGAAGAUGGAAAAUGAAAAGCACACCACCCCCCCCCAAAACUCUGAGAAAAAAGAGAUGGGAGGCAAAGACCUACAGUAGUGGAGUUUUAUUACAUGGGGAAAAGUAGCUUUUUUUAAUGUUGUGGGGGUUUUUUCCUUUUAUUUUUAAUAGCAAAUGAGAUGUGACUGCAAAGUUGUGUCUCCACAGAACUUAAUUACUGAAUGGGCAUUGUGUUUCUUUUAUUCUUUAGGAGAGGCUAUUUGUUGGGUUUGGGGUUUUACUCAUUAUUUCUGCUAGUGCUAAGUGUUGAGAUAGCAGAAAUGUCUUUUCCACACAUAGGGGACCGGGCUGGCUGACCAAUAUUACUGUAAUUAAGGUUACUCUUUCUUAAGGAUUUCUUCAGGUUGUCAGCCUAAAAGGAAAACAGAUGGUCCUAAAGCUUUGUUCUUUAGGAACACGACUGACUUUGGUAAAAGAAUUGGAGGGGUUUUUUUGGUGUCUGGUAGUGAUGCCAACUCAUCAGCCUAGCAAAUGGAAAGCCAUCGGUGCUCCAGCAACUCCAAGCAGCUGUGGAUCUGAGCUCCAGCGUGAUUCAGCUGCUAGGGCUCAGCAUGAGAGCCUGUUCAGAAACUGGGGGUUGUUCAUUUGCUAGGCAGUCUGUACUACUGUAAAGUUAGGUUUUGUCACAGUAAAAGAUACUCCAAGCAGACCAGGCUCUUAGCUGAGUUAUGGCCACACUGAUGUUCAUCUCCUGAAGACCAUGCUUCUCAUGGGAGAACUGAGGCAGUCUUCUAGUGAAGCCAUGGAAGAUGUACAUCAGAUUUGCGAAGCUACAAACCGGAUGCCUCAUUCCUGGGUGAAGUGUCUUGGUUCAAAGACCUUGAAGAGGUAAAACAAAAAAAAUCAGAAACUGUUUCUGUACUCUGUAAACCAGCAGCAAAUUUGCAACAGGAGGGUGCUAUGUGGAACAACACUUCCAGUGUAAAACAACUGCCAAAAUACUAGCUCAGAUCUUGACUCAGUCCUGAACAGACUCAUGGUUAAGCUGAAAGUGAUUCUUUACACUGUAAGCUUUUUGAUAUUUUUUUUUAAUGGGGAGAGUGCAGCAACACACACAAAAAAUAAAACCUGAGGUUUAAAGUUCUCUCUUUUUUUUAAUAGUUUCCAGCAGUAAACAGGCUCAUUGGCAGAACUCUCUAAGCAUUCAAAGCAGGAAACUAAAUUUAUUAGAGACAACAGUUCACUGUACUAUUUCAGGCUUUGAACAUUUACUUUACUAAAUGUACCCUGUCUGCUUGUAGUACAAACACAGUGGAUGUGCCAGCUGGGCAGUUGUGCUGUUGACAUGGCUGAGGGUGGCCCACACAAAUCAUGGUGACACAGAAGCCAUGGGACACUGUUAAUUACAGGUUGUAUGCUGGCAAUACUGUUACGAAUGUAACUCGGGGAGGGUUGGGUUAGUUUGAUGGCGAGUGCUG